rnacentral:rRNA from 1 species
UACGUAGGGUCCGAGCGUUGUCCGGAAUUAUUGGGCGUAAAGGGCUCGUAGGCGGUUCGUCACGUCGGGAGUGAAAACUCGGGGCUUAACCCCGAGCCUGCUUCCGAUACGGGCAGACUAGAGGUAGGCAGGGGAGGGCGGAACUCCUGGUGUAGCGGUGGAAUGCGCAGAUAUCAGGAAGAACACCCGUGGCGAAGGCGGCUCUCUGGGACGGUACUGACGCUGAGACGCGAAAGCGUGGGGAGCGAACAGG